rnacentral:rRNA from 1 species
CGGCGCGCUUAAUGCAUGCAAGUCGAGCGAUGAGGCCCUCUUCGGGGGGUACAUCAGCGGCAGACGGGUGAGUAACACGUAGGUGAUCUACCCCAGAGACGGGGAUAACGGGUGGAAACAUCCGUUAAUACCGGAUAGACUUGUUCGGUCAAAGGUACAAAGAAAGGCUCCGGCGCUCUGCGAUGAGCCUGCUGCCCAUCAUCUAGUUGGCGUGGGUAACGGCCCACCAAGGCAAAGACGGCGUAGGGGGUGUGACAGCAUGGCCCCCCACAAUGGGACUGGCACACGGCCCAUACUCCUACGGGAGGCAGCAGCACGGGAACUAGUUGCAACAACUGGACGGUACGUCUGAUUGCGAUCGACGCCGCCGUGGAUUGAAGACGCGCCCUCGGGAUUGUAAACCUCCUUUACACGGGGGAACGAGGAAGGGACGGCUACCCCGUGGAACCAAGUGUCGCUUAACUACGUGCCAGCAGCCUGUGGUAAGACGUAGGACACAAGCGUUAUCCGGAUUUACUGGGCGUAAAGCGUCUACAGACGCACAGGUAAGUUGGGCGUGAAAGCUCCGGGCCCAACCCGGAGAGGUCGUUCAAUACUGCGUGUCUAGAGGAUGUCAGAGGGGAGUGGAAUUUCCGGAGUAGCGGUAAAAUGCGCAGAGAUCGGAAAGAACACCAAUGGCGAAGGCAGCUCCCUGGGGCAACCCUGACGCUAAGAGACGAAAGCUAGGGGAGCGCACAGGAUUAGAGACCCUGGUAGUCCUAGCCCUGAACGAUGGAUGCAUGGAUGUGGGGCCAUAGCGCUCCGUGUCGAAGCGAACGCGCUUAAGCAUCCCGCCUGGGGAGUACGGCCGCAAGGUUUAAACUCAAACGAAUUGACGGGACCCCGCACAAGCAGCGGAGCGUGUGGUUUAAUUCGAUGCUACACGAAGAACCUUACCUGGGUUUGACAUCUAGGUGGUAGUGAAGCGAAAGCGGAUCGACCCUUCGGGGAGCUUAGACAGGUGCUGCAUGGCUGUCGUCAGCUCGCGCCGUGAGGUGUCGGGUUAACUCCCGUCACGAGCGCAACCCUUGCCCUCCGUUAUACGUGUCAGAGGGGACAGCCGGCGGUAACCCGGAGGACCCUCGGGGAUGACGUCAAGUCAGCAUGGCCUUUAUAUCCAGGGCUACACAC